rnacentral:rRNA from 1 species
AGCAGCCGCGGUAAUUCCAGCUCCAAUAGCGUAUAUUAAAGUUGUUGCAGUUAAAAAGCUCGUAGUUGAAUUUCGGGAUCAAGGAAUCGGUCAUGCCUUGGUAUGUACUGGUUUUAUUGGUUCUCACCUUCUAAAGAACCAUAAUGUCAUUUAUUUGAUGUUAUGGGGAAUUAGGACUGUUACCUUGAAAAAAUUAGAGUGUUUAAAGCAAGCUUACGCUUAAAUACAUUAGCAUGGAAUAAUGAAAUAGGACAUCAGAUUCUAUUUUGUUGGUUUCUAGGAUCGAUGUAAUGAUUAAUAGGGAUAGUUGGGGGCAUUAGUAUUCAAUUGUCAGAGGUGAAAUUCUUGGAUUUAUUGAAGACUAACUACUGCGAAAGCAUUUGCCAAGGAUGUUUUCAUUAAUCAAGAACGAAAGUUAGGGGAUCGAAGACGAUCAGAUACCGUCGUAGUCUUAACCAUAAACUAUGCCGACUAGGGAUCGGAUGAUGUUAAUUUUUAAUGACUCAUUCGGCACCUUACG